CUUGCUCCAUGAUUCAGCGGCGGACGGGUGAGUAAUGCCUAGGAAUCUGCCUGGUAGUGGGGGAUAACGUUUCGAAAGGAACGCUAAUACCGCAUACGUCCUACGGGAGAAAGCAGGGGACCUUCGGGCCUUGCGCUAUCAGAUGAGCCUAGGUCGGAUUAGCUAGUUGGUGAGGUAAAGGCUCACCAAGGCGACGAUCCGUAACUGGUCUGAGAGGAUGAUCAGUCACACUGGAACUGAGACACGGUCCAGACUCCUACGGGAGGCAGCAGUGGGGAAUAUUGGACAAUGGGCGAAAGCCUGAUCCAGCCAUGCCGCGUGUGUGAAGAAGGUCUUCGGAUUGUAAAGCACUUUAAGUUGGGAGGAAGGGCAGUAAGUUAAUACCUUGCUGUUUUGACGUUACCGACAGAAUAAGCACCGGCUAACUUCGUGCCAGCAGCCGCGGUAAUACGAAGGGUGCAAGCGUUAAUCGGAAUUACUGGGCGUAAAGCGCGCGUAGGUGGUUCGUUAAGUU
rnacentral:rRNA from 1 species